ensembl:snoRNA small nucleolar RNA SNORD17
GUGAGGUGAUGACAAAGUUUAUCCAUUCUCUGAGUGCAGUGGUGCUGUCCUCCUGCAGCACCGCGAUUCCUGUUCUAGGGUCUUGGUGUUGUGCAGCCUCCAGAGAGCCUGCAGUCUCCCAGUGUCCUACUGGGGACUGCCGUGGUGUGUGGCUGGCUGCCUGCAGGGGGAAGUGGUGCCGGCAGGGUUGGAGCCCCUCUCUGGGGGGCUCUGUCCCCACUGAGAUGAGGGAUGAUGUCUGAUCAC